rnacentral:hammerhead_ribozyme from 1 species
AUCCAGUAGACGAGUCCCAAAUAGGACGAAAUGCGCAUCCUGGAU